rnacentral:lncRNA from 1 species
GUAUAAUAAUAAAAAAAAGAAAUGAGCUUGCUAGACAAUGCUAUUUAUUAUUAUAAAAAUUGCUUAAUUAUAAUAACUCUACCAUUUUUGGUUAUCAAUAAAUGAUGUAAGUAAAUUUUAAAAGUAUAAACUAAAAAUAGGAAAAACAUAGAAAAUGAUAAUGAGUAGGGAUCUGAUCCCAACCAGCUGUAUUUGAAGACAUGGUUGUUAUUUCCUCACCACAAUAUGUGACAUUUUAUUCUGAGUUUCAAAACUACAGACAGAACCACUGAUUAAAAACAGGAUGUGGGUGAAUAGUCAUGCAUGAGACUACCUGGAUGAGACAUGAGCUAAUCUAGUGGUUCUAAAACAGCAGCCUCCCGUCAAAUGCUGGCUUGCUGCUUCAGAAUCACCUGAGCAACUCGUAAAGGUGCAGAUUCUCAGGCAUUGGGCCCCAGAGAUUCUGUUGAAUAGGCCUGGGUGGGUUUCAGAAGUCUUUGUAUAAACAAGUUCCCUAAAAGAUUCUUGCAUUAAUAGCUAGGAACCAUGUUUUGAGAAACACUACCCUGGAAGUUUAUAAUUUCUCUGUUAGCUCUGGUGUUGGUGAACUGUAAUCGGGAUGGAGUAUAAGCAAAAUGAUAAAAAAUGUCAAAAAUAUUAAAAGUGUCUUAAGAAGAAAGCUACCUCCUAAUAACCUCCUCUUAGAUUUUCCAACAUGAAUGUAUGAAAUUUCCAUGCUUUUCAACAUCAUUUUCUGCAUGUAACCAUGACUCCUAGUCUGCUGAAGUGGAAGCCAUCUAGAAGGAGUUCCCUCAAUUCCCUUGCCUCCAAUGAUUUCUAUCUCCUUUUUCUCUUUGCUGGUAUUUCUAACUGAAAUGAAUGCAUGUCUUUCCCACUUCUUACAUCUUUACUUUCCCACAGACUUCUUUCUUCAGGCCAGCAAAUACUUUUUAUUUUUACCUAUUCUGAGCUUAACCAGUAAAACCUGCAUUAUCAGCAUGAACAGAAGAUCAUAUCUCUUCAAUAUGUAAAUUAAUUUCCUAAGCCCCUGAUUGCUAGAUUCAGCAUUGGAAACUAACCUUUAUUGAUCAUGUUUCCAUUUUCUGUCCUAAAUCUUUUGAAAAUGCUGGGAUCUUACUUGGUGGUGCUUCCACACUUCUGAAAAGAGAAAUGGAUAAUUGAAAAAGCCACAAGUCGGGGAGGUUACAAGACAGCCGAAUAGGAACAGCUCCAGUCUACAGCUUCCAGUGUGAGCGAUGCAGAAGAUGGGUGAUUUCUGCAUUUCCAACUGAGGAUGAAGAAUAUCACAGUCAAAAUGGUCCAAAAGAUGUUUGACAUUUUUGCCCUAGAAACAAAAAAACAAAAAAUGUUGUAUAUGCGUCACUAAGAAUGAAACAGACAAAAAUCUGGCAGUCAUUUUAGAAAGCAAUAGAAAUAUGUGUUCCCUUUGGGCUUAUUUUGGAAACAAAAAAGAAUUUGAAAAUGUCAGGUUUAUAAGAGCAAAAUCUCCUUGUGAGGUGCCAGAACAGGGAACAUACUUAACGGGAGUCAAGUAUGGAUUAUUGAACGUCCUCAAAUGAGAAUGUUCAUGAGCAUAGUUGCCUGUCAGUGACAAAACAAUUUUUAUAUAUUUAUUAAAUCAAAUUUAAAAUGUUCUCAGUUGACUCCUACUCAUUUCUUCAGAAAUACUGUUGUUAACACUUUAGUGAGUUUUCUUAUCAGCCUUUGUCUAGGUAUUUAUAUAUGCAUAUAAAUCCAAUAUUUAGCAUAUAUAUUUAAAUUAAAUGAUAUCAGAUAUACAGCUGUACAACUUAAUAUUUUAUAUUUCAUCAGGAGUAUAUUUUCUAAGUUUUUGAUAUCUGAAAAUGUCUCUGCUUUCCCAUGUGAAUACUAUACUAGUAGAAGAGAGCAUUUUAGGAUCACAGUCCUUUUCAAGAUGGUAAUAAAUAUCAUUUGCUCUUUUGACUUCUAGUUUUAUGGAUGAAUAAUCCAAAGCCAGUUUAUUUCUCUUGUAAAAGUGUUUUUUUUUCAGUUUAUUCCUGGAAUUAAAAUUGUUUGCCAAUA